UGAAGGAGCCACAGUCCACCACCUCCAGGGUCAAGGCUUUGCCACCACCGCAGGGCAUGGAGUGCCAUAAGUAGUGCUGAAUGGAGCAAGGAGGAGGAGAUGGCCGCACACAUAGCAUGGAAGCUUUGACUAAUGGACUCCAGCUCUCAAGGCUCUUACUGUCAGCAGGAAGCUCCCGAGCAGUUCCUCACCUUCAAACUCCUUUUAAAGCACAGUGGGAAAGCACAAGAACGAAAACAUGCAAGGAGAAGAAAGAGAGAGGAAGAGAAAUGUCUCCCACAGCCACACAUCCUCGCUUCUCUACCUGCAGCUAUUAGAGGCAGAGCUCUGUAUGAGAGGUGUCUCCAACUCAGAAAAGCCUGCUUGAGGACCCAAAGCCCAGAGGAGACAGUUGUUUCAACUUCACAUAAAAGGAGAAUGUGGUGAGUUUUUUGAGCAUACAGCUCACUCAGAUACACACAACUGGGAGGGUUGUCUGACAGACCUGUGGGUUGUGCUGCCAUCCAGAGGGAUGUUGACAGGCUGGAAAAAUGGGCUUUGUAAAGAACCUCCUGAAGUGCAGCAAAGAGUGUUGCAAAGUCCUGUACCUG
rnacentral:lncRNA from 1 species